ensembl:lncRNA
GGACCAUGUGCUUUAGGAGAGCAAACUUCCUGCUGCUCAAGGAACUGCUGAGUGAGAUCCCCGAGGAAGCUGUCCUUAUGGGCAUGGGUGCAGAACAGAGCUGGCAGCUCUGGAAGGACACCUUUCUGAGAGCACAACUGCUCUCCCUCCUCCAAAAGAAGAAGUCGAGCAGGGGAGGCAGGCGACUGUUGUGGCUGUGCAAGGACCUGCAGCUAAAACUGAGAGAAAAGGGGGAAUUGUGUAGCAGGUGGAAGCAGGGUAGUGUGUCCUGGGAGGAAUAGAGGGCUAUUGUCCGUGUGUGUAGAGAUAGGAUUAGGAAAGCCAAGGCGCUGGUGGAGCUGAACUUGGCAAGGGAUGUGGAAGAUAACAAGAAGGGGUUCUACAGGUACAUAGGCAGGAGGAGACAUUCCAAGGAGAGUGUUCCCCCUCUGACGAGAGGCAAUGGGGAGCUGGCUUCUUCAGACACAGAAAAAGCUGAGGUACUCAAUGAGUGCUUUGCCUCAGUCUUCACGGGUGGUCAGGCUUCCCGUGUCUGCCAGGACCACGAGCCUCUAGGUUAGGGUGUGGGAGUGGUUUCUGUCCCACUGUAACGGUAAAACAAGUCCGAGUCCUCCUCAUGAAAUUGAACGUGUGUAAGUCCAUGGGGCCAGAUGAUAUCCAUCCUAGGUAAAGGGCAAAAUCGGGUCCCCGCAGUAUAGAAAGAAGGGCUUCAUAGCAAGAAAAGAGAAAGCAGCUUCACAAGGUAGACAUAAGGGGCACAUAGAGAUAGUUUAUGUAGAGAGUAUUAGAAAACAAGGGAUUCCAAGCACUUUCACAGGCGCUAGGUCCGGAAUAACAAGGAGAAUGAAGGCCAUAAAGAUAAGGACUGGAGAACAGCUCGAACACAAUUGGCAGACAGGUGAUUAGAUGUCUGAAGUGCAAGCUGAAACCAGUUUGGGGGAUGCCCCCCCUUCGGGGUCAGAAGUUUGCAGCGAGGAAGACUAUGAGCCUUCGUGAGG